rnacentral:tRNA from 1 species
GCCAUGGUUGGAACGGUGGACUGUUAAUCCAUAUGUCGCAAGUUCGAGUCUUGCCCGGGGAGCCA